rnacentral:rRNA from 1 species
GUCAGAAUAUUGCGCAAUGGGUUAACCGCCUGACGCAGCGAUGCCGCGUGGAGGAAGACGGCCAUACGGUUGUAAACUCCUGUCGGGAGGGACGAACACGGGCUCGGCCCGUUGACGGUACCUCCAAUAGGAAGCCUCGGCUAACUACGUGCCAGCAGCCGCGGUAAUACGUAGGAGGCGAGCGUUAUCCGGAAUCACUGGGCGUACAGGGUCCGUAGGCCGACUCGCGUGUCGAAUGUGAAAGCCCGGGGCUCAACUCCGGAAGUGCAGUCGAAGCUGUGAGCCUAGAGGAAGCCAGAGGGUGAUGGAAUUCCCGGUGUAGCGGUGAAAUGCGUAGAUAUCGGGAAGAACGCCAGUGGCGAAAGCGAUCACCUGGGGCUUUCCUGACGCUGAUGGACGAAAGCUAGGGGAGCGAACG